rnacentral:rRNA from 1 species
AGCAGCCGCGGUAAUUCCAGCUCCAAUAGCGUAUAUUAAAGUUGUUGCAGUUAAAAAGCUCGUAGUUGAAUUUCGGGAUCAAUUAAUUGGUCGUGCCUAUGGUACGUACUGAUUUUAUUGGUUUCUCCCUUCUGACGAACCAUGAUGUCAUUAAUUUGGUGUCGUGGAGAAUCAGGACUGUUACUUUGAAAAAAUUAGAGUGUUUAAAGCAAGCUAACGCUUGAAUACAUUAGCAUGGAAUAAUGAAAUAGGACGUUUGAUCCUAUUUUGUUGGUUUCUAGGAUCGACGUAAUGAUUAAUAGGGAUAGUUGGGGGCAUUAGUAUUCAAUUGUCAGAGGUGAAAUUCUUGGAUUUAUUGAAGACUAACUACUGCGAAAGCAUUUGCCAAGGAUGUUUUCAUUAAUCAAGAACGAAAGUUAGGGGAUCGAAGACGAUCAGAUACCGUCGUAG